CGGGAGCUAACACAUGCAAGCCGAGCGGUAGAGAUCUUUCGGGAUCUUGAGAGCGGCGUACGGGUGCGGAACACGUGUGCAACCUGCCUUUAUCAGGGAGAUAGCCUUUCGAAAGGAAGAUUAAUAUCCCAUAAUAUUUUGAACGGCAUCGUUUAAAAUUGAAAGCUCCGGCGGAUAGAGAUGGGCACGCGCAAGAUUAGAUAGUUGGUGAGGUAACGGCUCACCAAGUCAGUGAUCUUUAGGGGGCCUGAGAGGGUGAUCCCCCACACUGGUACUGAGACACGGACCAGACUCCUACGGGAGGCAGCAGUGAGGAAUAUUGGACAAUGGGUGAGAGCCUGAUCCAGCCAUCCCGCGUGAAGGAUGACGGCCCUAUGGGUUGUAAACUUCUUUUGUAUAGGGAUAAACCUAGAUACGUGUAUCUAGCUGAAGGUACUAUACGAAUAAGCACCGGCUAACUCCGUGCCAGAAGCCGCGAGGUAAUACA
rnacentral:rRNA from 1 species